rnacentral:rRNA from 1 species
UACGUAGGGGGCAAGCGUUGUCCGGAAUCAUUGGGCGUAAAGGGCGCGUAGGCGGCAACUUAAGUCUGAUGUGAAAGUGCGGAGCUUAACUCCGUAAAGCAUUGGAAACUGGGUAGCUUGAGGACAGGAGAGGAAAGUGGAAUUCCUAGUGUAGCGGUGAAAUGCGUAGAUAUUAGGAGGAACACCAGUGGCGAAGGCGACUUUCUGGACUGUAACUGACGCUGAGGCGCGAAAGCGUGGGGAUC